GACGGACGCUGGCGGCGUGCUUAACACAUGCAAGUCGAACGAUGAACUUGGAGCUUGCUUUGGGGGAUUAGUGGCGAACGGGUGAGUAACACGUGAGUAACCUGCCCUGGACUCUGGGAUAACUGCGAGAAAUCGGAGCUAAUACCGGAUAGGACCUUGCACCGCAUGGUGUGGGGUGUAAAGAUUUUCGGUUUGGGAUGGACUCGCGGCCUAUCAGCGUGUUGGUGAGGUAAUGGCUCACCAAGGCGUCGACGGGUAGACGGCCUGAGAGGGUGACCGGCCACACUGGGACUGAGACACGGCCCAGACUCCUACGGGAGGCAGCAGUGGGGAAUAUUGCACAAUGGGCGCAAGCCUGAUGCAGCAACGCCGCGUGCGGGAUUGCGGCCUUCGGGUUGUAAACCGCUUUUAGUAGGGAAGAAGCCUUCGGGUGACGGUACCUGCAGAAAAAGGACCGGCUAACUACGUGCCAGCCGCCGCCGUAAUAC
rnacentral:rRNA from 1 species